rnacentral:rRNA from 1 species
GACAGAGGGUGCGAACGUUGUUCGGAAUUACUGGGCGUAAAGCGCAUGUAGGCGGCAGCGCAAGUCGGGCGUGAAAUCCCACGGCUCAACCGUGGAAGUGCACUCGAAACUGCGCAGCUAGAGUCCUGGAGAGGAAGGUGGAAUGCUUGGUGUAGAGGUGAAAUUCGUAGAUAUCAAGCGGAACACCGGUGGCGAAGGCGGCCUUCUGGACAGUGACUGACGCUGAGAGUGCGAAAGCGUGGGGAGCAAA